rnacentral:rRNA from 1 species
GCCUGAUGCAGCCAUGCCGCGUGUGUGAAGAAGGUCUUCGGAUUGUAAAGCACUUUCAGUUGGGAGGAAGGGUAGUAGCUUAAUACGUUGGUGUUUUGACGUUACCGACAGAAUAAGCACCGGCUAACUCUGUGCCAGCAGCCGCGGUAAUA